UACGUAGGGUGCGAGCGUUGUCCGGCAUUAUUGGGCGUAAAGGGCUCGUAGGCGGUUUGUCGCGUCGGGAGUGAAAACUCAGGGCUUAACCCUGAGCCUGCUUCCGAUACGGGCAGACUAGAGGUAUGCAGGGGAGAACGGAAUUCCUGGUGUAGCGGUGAAAUGCGCAGAUAUCAGGAGGAACACCGGUGGCGAAGGCGGUUCUCUGGGCAUUACCUGACGCUGAGGAGCGAAAGUGUGGGGAGCGAACAGG
rnacentral:rRNA from 1 species